UUUCAAAAUUCAAUUAUUUUAGACAACAGGCACAUAUGCAAUACUGACAUAAUCCCGAAUACCACACGUUUCCCUUUUAUGCAGAUAUGCAAUGGCAAGCCCUUCCAUGUGUUCCAAAAGUAAAAUUUAAGCUCUAAAUUAAAGAAGAUAUUUCUAGUCAGAAACAAGCAAAAAUGGUGACUGCAGAGUAUCAGAAGCCCAAGGUACAGAAAUUGUGAGAAGUGUCGAAUGAUUUCAAGGAAAGAGUCGUAUUUGAAAAUGCAAGACUCUUUAGUGGAGGUCAAGCAAGUCAAUAUAGGUAGAAUACUCUGCAAAAUUAUGCGAGUGAGGGGAUGUCAAACAGUGGGUCAGGAAAUGCAUUGUUUUUCUGCUAAACAAGAGCUGAUUGCCAUUACAUAAGUCACUUCAGCAUCAUGAUAAAUUCAGAAAUAAACCAAAAAACAAGACACGCAAAAAUAAAAAAAAACAUUUAAUGAUGCUCUCUCCACACUGGGAUAAAUAAAAACAAACACAUCACAUCUAAUGUGGACAUAUCAGAUGCCUUGUGAAACACUAAAGGAACAAUUCAGUUUCGAGCUAUGGCACUUGCCACAUAGAUGUGGGGGGGCCUUGCACCAAUAGUGAUAGUUACCACUGCAUUUAGAAAUUGAAAGCAUUCGUGCAGACAAGGAUGAUUCUUUCUAUUCUUGGCUACCACUUCAAAUGCCUCCACCAAGUGUUACAAUGCUGCACGCAGCCAUACUAAGGAUCUCGCAGCAACACCUGCAGGUAAAAAGCAGAAGCAGUCAAAGUGCUGGUGUGUUCUGGACACUAUGUUUGAAAACAUUUAGGCAAGAAGAGUGCAAGAAGCAGACAUAACAACUGCAUUUAUUUCCAUAAUUCCCCAUUUAAAUGGCCUUUUCUUUUUGCUUAGACAAUGCCUACGCCUAGCCACAGCAGCUCCCUCAUACAGACUCCGCAAGCCAAGAGGCCGUGGAGCCAAAUGCAGGCAGCCAGCACACCUCGAACAGCCACCUUGACUGCGGGUGUGUCACCCUAGUCGCCAAGGAAACAUUUGAGGGAAAGUGACAGGCAAUGUGAACAGCCACUUUUCCAUGUAAACAAUACUCUUUCUCUCGAAUGACUCCUACGCCUCGCCACGCCAGCACACUUGUGCACAAAGAUGCCGCAGAGGCACGUGCAGGUCAGAGGCAAGAAGCAGUGGCACUGGUGUCGACUUUUACCCAAUUUCUUUUUCUUACACUGAGGCAGCCAGCACACCUCGAACAGCCACCUUGACUGCGGGUGUGUCAGUAGAUUCCUGUUGUACAUAUGCUCAUAAUAAACUUCAGUAAACUUGAACUUCAUAAUAAACUUGAAGGCAAAUGGGA